GAUGAACGCUAGCGGCAGGCCUAACGCAUGCAAGUCGAGCGGGAAGUUACUUCCGGGUGACUGAGACCGGCGUACGGGUGCGUAACGCGUAUACAAUCUGCCUUUCACUGGGGGGUAGCCCGAAGAAAUUUGGAUUAAUACCCCAUAGUAUAUAGGGACGGCAUCGUUUUUAUAUUAAAGCUUAGGUGGUGAAAGAUGAGUAUGCGUUCUAUUAGCUAGUUGGAGAGGUAACGGCUCCCCAAGGCGAUGAUAGAUAGGGGUUCUGAGAGGGAUGUCCCCCACACUGGUACUGAGAUACGGACCAGACUCCUACGGGAGGCAGCAGUGAGGAAUAUUGGACAAUGGUCGGAAGACUGAUCCAGCCAUGCCGCGUGCAGGAUGAAGGUCUUAUGGAUUGUAAACUGCUUUUGUAAGGGAAGAAUAAGGGCUACGCGUAGUUUGAUGACGGUACCUUACGAAUAAGCAUCGGCUAACUACGUG
rnacentral:rRNA from 1 species